rnacentral:rRNA from 1 species
AGCGAACGCUGGCGGCAGGCCUAACACAUGCAAGUCGAACGAACCUUUCGGGGUUAGUGGCGGACGGGUGCGUAACACGUGGGAACGUGCCUUUAGGUUCGGAAUAACUCAGGGAAACUUGUGCUAAUACCGAAUGUGCUCUUCGGGGGAAAGAUUUAUCGCCUUUAGAUCGGCCCGCGUCUGAUUAGCUAGUUGGUUGAGGUAAUGGCUCACCAAGGCGACGAUCAGUAGCUGGUCUGAGAGGAUGAUCAGCCACAUUGGGACUGAGACACGGCCCAAACUCCUACGGGAGGCAGCAGUGGGGAAUCUUGCGCAAUGGGCGAAAGCCUGACGCAGCCAUGCCGCGUGAAUGAUGAAGGUCUUAGGAUUGUAAAAUUCUUUCACCGGGGACGAUAAUGACGGUACCCGGAGAAGAAGCCCCGGCUAACUUCGUG